ACCACAUGUUUUCCUUCCAAUUAACUUCCCAUUAGUAUGCUUGGAUACAGUUCUCCGUAAACAACCAACUUCUUUAGUAGGGACCUUUUGUGGCUUAGCCUCCUUGGGGAGGGUGUCCACGACUGUCUGGAGGACAACUGUCUUCUUCAUGAUUGUGCUGAAGAUAACAUAACGUAAAGGUUCUUUUUCACCAGUCUUAGGUAGCCUAAUAGGAACUGGGUUUUAUAAGCUGUGAGCCGUCAUUGUCAAAGUUUUAAUUUUAAAUAGAAUCACUGACAUAAAACUAUUUUUCGAUGCACUUGUAAAUGGUGCAAACGACAUGGGAUCAUCAUUGUAUUUUACUCGCUGAUCAAACAGUUUCUUUUUUUUUUUUUUUUCCAGCAGAAAUAAAAUGAGUCAAAGACAAAGUUGAUCAAAACCACUUUAAAAGAAAAAGAAACUGCUUGGAAGGAAAAUAUUUAAAAAAUGAGGGAUGCAAAACAGAAUCUAGUCGGACCUGUUAAAAUCAACUGCUCUGUUGUAUUUUAUCCUCCACUAGAUGGCGCUAAAGGACCAGUGUCAAGCAAAUAGAGGAGAACUCAUGACUGUCACUAAGAGACACAGAACAUAUUAAUACACAGGACUGACAGCAGAUCAAGCAACUGUCAUCUUAAUAAUAAUGUGGAAUAAAUAACUUUGCUCUCUGUCUGUAGAAGACUGAGGUUUUCCUCCCUGUUUACAGCCUCUGAAGGCUGCAUCUGGCUGAGCUGGUUAACGGAGGGGGAGGAUAAUGGAGGAGGGCGGACCACUGAAGCACCAAAUGUCAGAGUGAACAACACAACUGGUUUCUGAUCUAGAAGGGACCUAAAAGGCUUCUUCACAGCUUUUUGGCAUCUGGACAAAUUGUGAAGCUGCAAAGCUUGGGAAAGGUCAGGGUGGGGGAAAGCCACCCUUGGGCCUCUGAAGAUGGAGUGAUAUUUCAUGUGAAGAAAUCAAAACAAGGCCUCUAAAUGGAUCCAGUGGGGAACGAAGACCCAGCUGCACCACUGACAUGAGGAGAAGAGGAGAAAGAGAACAGAAAAGGAAGGGGCUCGCUCAGCGAUGAGAGUCGGACAAGGAUCAGGAAGUGAUUAAAUGGCAAAGUGGAAAAGCAAAGGAAAUGAGCAUCUGCAUUAGUUUCUACUUGCUUUCCUAAUGGAGUUAAAGAGAUCUUCAAUCAACAAGCCAUCUGUUGUUCGCCAUCUAACUGAGAUCACAACUGCCGCUCACUGGACAAUUUCUCUCUUCCGGCCCAUUCUCUGUAGGGAUGGUUUGACAUGAAAUUCUCAGAAGAUCAUCGGUUUCUAAGAUACUCUGACCAGACCGUGCAACAUCAACAGCCACGCCACGUUUAAAGUCACUUAAAUCCCCUUUCCUUCUCGUUCUGAUGCUCAGCUUCGGUUUAGCAAGCAAUCGAACAGGUAAACCUAAAAUGCACCUAAA